rnacentral:rRNA from 1 species
CCGGGAUGGACAUACCUCUGGUGUACGAGUUGUCGUGCCAACGGCAUAGCUGGGUAGCUAUGUGUGGACGGGAUUAGUGCUGAAAGCAUCUAAGCAUGAAGCCCCCCUCAAGAUGAGAUUUCCCAACUUCUGUUAUAAGAUCCCUCAAAGAUGAUGAGGUUAAUAUGUUCGAGGUGGAAGCAUGGUGACAUGUGGAGCUGACGAAUACUAAUCGAUCGAAGACUUAAUCA